rnacentral:lncRNA from 1 species
AGAUCCUCAGAAGGUACUGUGUUUCAAUAUCAAUGAAUUCUUGCCACAUUGUAAGUAUCAUUGGCUUUUGCCUGCAUCAAUUGGCAAUGGUUAACAUGAAUAUUGUGUUGUAUUGAACUUUGUUAAUUUGCAUUGUUUUUAUACUUACUCUUGAUUCAGGAUAAUGAAUUCUUGAAUUGGACAAUCGCCUCUUUGUCGUGCAAUGAAACAUCGGGGAAGGGCUCCAAUGACAGUGCAUAGCAGAGCCGAGAGAAGAGCAUUAACUAUUAGUAUUGAUGUGUAAGAAUCAUUGUAUUAACAAUGUAAUGAAAACCAUUAAAGUGAAGUAGUACUUAUUGGAUUUGUAUUUGUAUUGAUGUGCUUAUAGAAGUCUCUGAAUGGGGUAAAAUUGUAGCAUUGAUCAA